GAGCUGCGGCUGCGGGAAGGGCGCCGCCGUAACUGUAGGCGUCAACCACAGGAGGCGCCAGAGCGCGCUCGUACCCACCUCUUUCCGCCGGAUGAAGUAUCUCGGCUGUCUUUCUAGAAGAGAGGCAAAGGAACAAUGUCGAUGGUGUUUCUAUGAUGGUGGACUCUGAACCCAAGCAAAUCAGCGGCCUCGGUGAUAAGAGCCUUUUUACUUAAACUCCCUGCAGAAAUGUGUCCCUAGCCACAGAAAAUGACAUGAAGAUCGCUAUCGAUCCACUCUUAACAUCUCUCAUGGAUGUGCCUGGCUAUUCAAUGGACAGCCAACUGAUUUCAUUUGCUCUGAGACAAGUCAAGCAGGAAACAGCUCCUUAGUGCCUAACAGGAGUAUAAUAAUCUGUACAGUAAAAACCUCUUGCUCCAUAAAGUAUUCCACUUUUCAUUUUAAAACUGUUAAAAAAUCAUGUUUGAGGAGAGCAAUAUAAACAGCAUUUAUGAUGUUGGAAAAUUAGCAUCCUAGAGUAUGUGGGACUUAGGGUGUUUGUUGAAGAGGGAAAGGGUGUGGUGCUGUUGUUUCAUCAGCUUCGGGGAUUUUUCAGAACCCUUGCCUUAUUCCUUGGGGUCCUUCCUUUACCAGUUGAGAUGUUUUUGGGGGCAUGGAGUCAUGAUAUUAUGCAUGUAAAUAAACACUGGAAAAGAAACUUUCUCCACGGAUCCUGAUUAGCAGCCACUCUGGCCAGAGAGCUAAUGUUUCAGGGCUUUUCCAGGCCCCAAGUCUCUGCCCUGUAUUAGAACUAUUUCACCACACGGAUUAGAACCACCCCAAAAGUUGCAAGGAUCAUGGGGCUCCAAAAUGUAUUGCUUGUGGCCAGCCUGGCGGCUCGUCACUGGGAUCUUCCUCACUGAAGACCUGGUCAAGCUUGGACUUUGCUGGCAUAGGAGCUCUGUGUCAUGUCAAGAUACCCAAACCCGCAGUGAAAAAAAUGCUCUAUCCACAUGAAUCCAUGUCAGUAAGAAGUAGAGUGAUUCACUCAACUCACCUGUGACCAAGAAAGUGGAGAACACGCAGUGGCCAUCCCCUGGCAAACCAUCUUGGCAGACAGUUAAACUAGGUUGAAAGUGACUGAUGGGCCUCAAUCUUGUCAUUGUACCCCAAGCUUGUGAAGACUUUCUCCAACAGAAUGGUGGAUGAGAACAAUUUGUUCCAACAAAGGUGACUGUAGCAGGCGCUGUGGAGGGCUUAGAGCUUGAUCAGGCAUGGAAGACGCCAAGGUCCUCUGCUGCAUCCUGGGCUGUUGCUGGUGAUUUUGGCUUUUGGACUUUGAUGACUUUGGAAAAGAGAGUGAGUGAGGCUGCAUCACUUUAAUCCAAUUCAUGCACGUGUCAAGAAGUUACCUGUGAUGUCACUGGUCCUCUUUGAAAAUGAAGGCCUAAUGACUGUAUACCAGGUGCUAAGCACUUUGCAAAUAUGAUUAGCGUCCCAACCACCUUGGCAGAUAGGUAUUACUGUCAUCCCUAUUUUAUCAUUGAGGAAACUGAGGCAGAUAGUGGUUAAAUGACUUGCUCAGAAUCAGUUAGUAAGUGUCUGAGGCUAGAUUUGAACUUAGUGUUUUCCUGGCUCCAGGCCCAGCUGGUGCUUUAUCCACUAGGCUAUCUAGCCUCAAUUCAAAUGCCUGUUCUAUCAACUUCUAACUGUGUGAACUUAGGCAGGAAACUCAACCUCUCCAGGCCUCGGUUUCCCCCCCCCCCCCAUAAAAGUCCCUUCCUACGUUUCAUAAUAAGGUAGAGGUCCAAAGAUCUGCAUUUGAGUAGCUGCUCUACUACUUACCAGUCACAUGACUUUGGGUCAGUUAAUUUAUUUCUGAGCUUCAAUGUCCUCACUGAUUAAGAAGGAAAAAAUUGUUAUACUUCAUAGGGUUGGUAGAUGGAGCAAAUGAGAUUGGACAUGCUUCAUAAUCAGAAAGUAGCAUAUAAAUGAAGCUAUCAUCAUAAGUAAUAAUAAUACUUCAGUAAUACUUUACUAGUUUAUCUCUGUGGGUAUUUCUUUUACCAACAUGGAUCACAACUCCUUUAUAACUUGGCAGAUGCUCUCUGAGAAUUGCCGUGGUUUCCAGAACAUCUCCCCUAGCAUCCAAACCAGUAAUGGGCCAUUCAGAAUUCAGCAAGACCUCUUCUCCAACAACAGAAAUAGUCAAUCGCCAGGCUUGAAUUUCCAGCCUUAUGGACUUAACAAGAUGGCCAGAGAGUACUCUCUGUUGGCGUUACCUUCGGGAACCCAGGGACACUUCCAUGCCACGAUGAGCCACCGGAGGAAUGAUUUAGCGCCACUCAAAUACUACCUCCAACUUGAGCUUCCCGGAUCCUUGCUGUCUCUAAUGAGCUCUUCCCCACCUCCCGUGCAACCAACCUUCAGACACUCUUAUGUAUUAUUUUGUCUUCUGAUUAUUUGUGCUUGUAUCUUAUCUCAUAAUUAAACUUUAAGUUCUCUGAGUAUAGAGCAGUGAUUUUAAUAAACCCAAUCCCUCUCUUCCCAGAUCAAAGAUAGUAUUCUUUGCACAAUAGGAGUUUAAUAAAUGUUUAUUAGAUGAAAGAAUGAUAGAAUGAACGAAAUGAGUUCAUUUAAAGCUUUACCCUGAUGUCCUCCUGGGUUGCGAUUUUCAUGAUCUUUAUUUCAUAUUUAACAAAAUAAGCAAUAUUG